rnacentral:rRNA from 1 species
AGGACGAACGCUGGCGGCGUGCUUAACACAUGCAAGUCGAGCGGAAAGGCCCUUCGGGGUACUCGAGCGGCGAACGGGUGAGUAACACGUGAGUAAUCUGCCCUUAGCUCUGGGAUAGCUCCGGGAAAACCGGGAUUAAUACCAGAUAUGACCACACUAGACAUCUGGUGUGGUGGAAAGGAUUCCGGCUAGGGAUGAGCUCGCGGCCUAUCAGCUUGUUGGUGGGGUAACGCCUACCAAGGCGACGACGGGUAGCCGGCCUGAGAGGGCGACCGGCCACACUGGGACUGAGACACGGCCCAGACUCCUACGGGAGGCAGCAGUGGGGAAUAUUGCGCAAUGGGCGAAAGCCUGACGCAGCGACGCCGCGUGGGGGAUGAAGCCUUCGGUUGUAAACCCUUUCAGCAGGACGAAGCGAAAGUGACGGUACCUGCAGAAGAAGCACCGGCCAACUACGUGCCAGCAGCCGC